rnacentral:tRNA from 1 species
GCCUCGGUGGCGAAAUUGGUAGACGCAAGGGACUUAAAAUCCCUCGCCUUCUGGGUGUGCCGGUUCGACUCCGGCCCGAGGCACCA